GGGCCCGCACAAGCGGUGGAGCAUGUGGUUUAAUUCGAUGAUACGCGAGGAACCUUACCAGGGCUUAAAUGGGAAAUGACAGGGGCAGAGACGCCCCCUUCUUCGGACAUUUUUCAAGGUGCUGCAUGGUUGUCGUCAGCUCGUGCCGUGAGGUGUCAGGUUAAGUCCUAUAACGAGCGCAACCCCUACCGUUAGUUGCCAGCGUGUAAUGACGGGGACUCUAACGGAACUGCCGGUGCAAACCGUGAGGAAGGUGGGGACGACGUCAAAUCAUCACGGCCCUUACGUCCUGGCCACACACGUGCUACAAUGGUAGUGACAAUGGGUUAAUCCCAAAAAGCUAUCUCAGU
rnacentral:rRNA from 1 species